rnacentral:rRNA from 1 species
GAUGAACGCUGGCGGCGUGCCUAAUACAUGCAAGUAGAACGCUGAAGGAGGAGCUUGCUCUUCUGGAUGAGUUGCGAACGGGUGAGUAACGCGUAGGUAACCUGCCUGGUAGCGGGGGAUAACUAUUGGAAACGAUAGCUAAUACCGCAUGACAACAGUUAUUGCAUGAUAACUGUUUAAAAGGGGCAACUGCUCCACUACCAGAUGGACCUGCGUUGUAUUAGCUAGUUGGUGAGGUAACGGCUCACCAAGGCGACGAUACAUAGCCGACCUGAGAGGGUGAUCGGCCACACUGGGACUGAGACACGGCCCAGACGCCUACGGGAGGCAGCAGUAGGGAAGCUUCGGCAAUGGACGGAAGUCUGACCGAGCAACGCCGCGUGAGUGAAGAAGGUUGUCGGAUCGUAAAGCUCUGUUGUAAGAGAAGAACGAGUGUGAGAGUGGAAAGUUCACACUGUGACGGUAUCUUAACAGAAAGGGACGGCUAACUACGUG